AUCGAAGGGACGUUGGUGUUGAAAUUGAAUCCAAUUGGGCUUCACUACGUGCACUCCAGGCUUGAAUCCUUGUUGGAGCUUGAGAGUCUUAUUUCAGGUGCACCUGUUGAUUAUUUGCGUGCUUAUGUAUCUGAUUUGGGUGACCAUCGUGCGCUUGAGCGGCUUCGACGGAUUCUUCGUCUCCUUGCCUCGCUCAAGGUGGUAUCUGUGCUUCCUCCUCCUGGAAGGGAUCCUACGCCGUUGUCGCUUUUGCCUUUUGGUAGACUCAAGGUUUUGGAGCUUAGAGGAUGUGAUCUG
rnacentral:misc_RNA from 1 species